rnacentral:rRNA from 1 species
GGCCUGGCUGGGCGGUCCGCCUCACGGCGUGUACUGUCUGGCUGGGUCUUACCUCUUGGUGAGCCGGCGUGCCCUUUAUUGGUGUGCGUCGGGGAACCAGGACUUUUACCUUGAGAAAAUUAGAGUGUUCAAAGCAGGCCUGUGCCCGAAUACAUUAGCAUGGAAUAAUAAAAUAGGACG